CAGGGAGUUUUUGGACUGUGAGCUAUUUCAGAACUCUGUUCUCAGGACCCAUUAUUUUAACAGUCAGGAGAAACACAUCCAGAAGAUGCACGCUAGGCCGAAGGAGGAGCGGAGAAUCUGAAGAUUUCAGAUGACAUCAGAGCUACUUUACAACAGCCUUCCCGAUUUCCUUUCUCAGAAAGUAGAGACAAACUCAGAGACAGAUGGAUUUGCUGACAAUUUUGGACUUACCAGCACCCACUUUAUGAAAAUCCUUUAGUUAUGAAAGCUCCUGGAACUGGGUACUCCUUUACCUGUCCAUCCCCAGAAGUUUCUCUUCUUCCUUACAGAAACUCCUUGUGAUUAAGUUAAGGAUUUAGAAAUGAGAAGAUUAUUGCAGAUUAUCCAAACGGGUAUGGAAUACAAUCAUAAGAGUUCUUACGGGUGAGAAGCAGAGGAGACAUUUGACACAAACAGAAGAAAAGAAGGCAGUAUGAACCAUGGAGUCAGAAACGCGUGAUGUAGCCACAAACCAAGGCAUGCCAGCAGCCGCCAGGAGCUGGAAGAAGCGAGGAACAGAUUGUUCACUAGAACCUCUGAAGGGAUUGUGGCCCCACUAACACUUUAAUUUUGGCUCAGUGAGUGAAGCUGAUUUCGAACUUCCAGUCUCCAGAACAGUGAGGGAAUAAGUUACAGUUGUUUGGAGUCACCACGUCUGUGGGGAUCUUUCACAGCAGCCCUGGGAAAUUUAGAUAUCACCCACCCCUGCAUAAGAAAUGAAUGAAAUACAAAGGAAUCCAGUUUCAUGUACCGCAAAUAUCUUCCCAGGUUCCAGCAAACAUGCACAAACUACAUUAGAGAUCUUUGUCUUUUUUAUGUGUGUGUGUGUGAAAAUUUGUUAAGUAUCAAG
rnacentral:lncRNA from 1 species